rnacentral:lncRNA from 1 species
UUCAUUCUCACGUCUAUAAUCAGAGAAAGUUCUUCUCCUUCUUUCUCCUUCAUCUUAGCAUUUCGCAAGCAGGUAAACGUUGUUCUCAUUCUUCCUCUUCAUCCUUGAAUUAUGCAGCGUUCUUCUCUUUAAUUUCUUUCUUCUCCUUCUAAUUCGUCCAAGCGAGAAGACGAACACAAUGUCUUGGAGGAAGAACGCAAUUUAGAGGAUGAAGACGCAGAGAGGAAGAACAUGACUUGGAGGAUGCUGCUGUCGUCGGCGAACGUGGAGAGAAGUCAAUGACUUUCGGCGAGUAGCAUGGAGAGA